CUGUGAUCUCUGACCACAUCCUGUUUUCUUCUCCCCCAGGCGGUGACAGUGCCCAGGGCUCUGAUGUGUCUCUCACGGCUUCUAAAGCGUGAGACAGCUGCCUUGUGGGGGACUGAGUGAUGCAAGAUGUGUUCAUGCCCCACUUUGUGACUUCAGGAACCUCUGAUCUCUCUUUCUGCAAAGGGCAUCUGAAUGUGUCUGCGUUCCUCUCAGCAUCAUGUGAGGAGGGGGGAGACUGCCUGCCCCCUGCCCUCCACACCCCCACCCUGCACUGACCGAGCCUCUUCCCUGACCCACUGUCCUGUUCCAGCAGAGGCUGUUUCUAUCCCACUUUUACUUCAUGUUACUCUGAAUGGCAACUUCUUACUUCCUUUUGAAAUAAGAAUCUGGAUGUGAAUCUGUUUUUUCAGUUCUUGCCAUGAAAGGUUGAUGGGUUAAUUGAAGGAGAAAAUCCUAAAUUUUGAGAGGAAAUAAAUGGAAGCACUGAGAACCUUCCAGAAUCCG